AUUGAACGCUGGCGGCAUGCCUUACACAUGCAAGUCGAACGGCAGCACGGGUGCUUGCACCUGGUGGCGAGUGGCGAACGGGUGAGUAAUACAUCGGAACAUGUCCUGUAGUGGGGGAUAGCCCGGCGAAAGCCGGAUUAAUACCGCAUACGAUCUACGGAUGAAAGCGGGGGACCUUCGGGCCUCGCGCUAUAGGGUUGGCCGAUGGCUGAUUAGCUAGUUGGUGGGGUAAAGGCCUACCAAGGCGACGAUCCGUAGCUGGUCUGAGAGGACGACCAGCCACACUGGGACUGAGACACGGCCCAGACUCCUACGGGAGGCAGCAGUGGGGAAUUUUGGACAAUGGGCGAAAGCCUGAUCCAGCAAUGCCGCGUGUGUGAAGAAGGCCUUCGGGUUGUAAAGCACUUUUGUCCGGAAAGAAAUCCUUGGCCCUAAUACGGUCGGGUGACGACGGUACCGGAAGAAUAAGCACCGGCUAACUACGUG
rnacentral:rRNA from 1 species